AAUAACAACUAAUAAAUAAAUUUGGUGUAUUUACUGUCUUCUGAUUGGUUAAAAGAAUUAGCUUUAUUUUCAAUGUUAUCAAUUUUUAUGGCGACACGCCCACUCUAACGUUGUGUAUUCAUACGCAAACAUCUGUGUACGUUGUUAUUUGUAUUAAUAUAUAUCUUUGAGCCUUAUUUUUGAUAGAAAUUUAUUUAUAAUGAAUGGCAAUAAUUUAUUUUGAAUUUAUUGAACCAUAAAAUUAAUUUUUGACUCUUCACAUUUAACAUAAUCCGCUUCGC
rnacentral:lncRNA from 1 species